AUGCAGCCCAAGAUCAACACGUUCUUCAAGCGCCAGGCCACGGGGCCGGAUUCGAACAGCGAAGCGGCGGAGGCGAAGAGGCCCAAGAGCUGCGGCGACGGCAAGGUCCUCAACAAGAAGAGGAACUACGGGCAGUUCCACCUGGAGCUGGGGCAGCCUGAUUUCCUCCUCCACAUGUGCGCGGCCUGCGGCAUGAUGUACGCCCGCGGCAACGACGAGGACGAGAAGGUCCACAGGGCCUACCACAAGGGCUGCCUCGAGGGCGUCCCGUUCAAGGGUUGGCGCGAGGAAACCGUGGUUAUGAGGUCCGAGGGCGGUGACCGGAUAAUUCUAGCAAGCGGUGAAAACUCAUGUAUACGCAACAGCAAGGUUCAGGAGGUGAUCAAAGUGGUGGAGAAGGAGCUGGGGUUUGGUGAAGGCCAGCUCCUUCAUAAGCUCUGCAAGGUGUAUCUGUUUGUAUCUGGCGGGAGGAUAGCGGGGUGUCUAGUUGCCGAACCGAUAAAAGCAGCACACAAAGUUAUUCCAAGCUCUGCAUCGGAAAACCGAAGCAAUUUGCCGGACAAUAAGACUGAAUCAGCACAGGCAAACCAUACAUUGGAGUUUGGGAAAAUAAGCUUCAAGAGGGAAGUCCUACGACGGCAUAAUCACCCCGACAGGAGUAAAGAAGAGUGCCAGGGCCCUGGUGCCAUAGUCUGCGAAGAAGAAGCUGUGCCCGCGCUCUGCGGAUUCCGGGCAAUCUGGGUGGUGCCAUCGCGCAGAAGAAAGGGAAUAGCGUCGCAGCUUGUGGACGCUGCACGGAAAAGCUUCUGUGAAGGCGGCAUGUUGGGGAUCUCACAAUGUGCUUUCACGCCACCAACCUCUGAAGGGAAGGAGCUAGCAUCGACCUACUGCAAGACCAGUGCAUUCUUAGUCUACAGGGAUGGAGAUGUAUAG
rnacentral:rRNA from 1 species